GACAUCAGGAGGUUAGUGCAAUGGCAUAAGCCAGCUUGACUGCGAGCGUGACGGCGCGAGCAGGUGCGAAAGCAGGUCAUAGUGAUCCGGUGGUUCUGAAUGGAAGGGCCAUCGCUCAACGGAUAAAAGGUACUCCGGGGAUAACAGGCUGAUACCGCCCAAGAGUUCAUAUCGACGGCGGUGUUUGGCACCUCGAUGUCGGCUCAUCACAUCCUGGGGCUGAAGUAGGUCCCAAGGGUAUGGCUGUUCGCCAUUUAAAGUGGUACGCGAGCUGGGUUUAGAACGUCGUGAGACAGUUCGGUCCCUAUCUGCCGUGGGCGCUGGAGAACUGAGGGGGGCUGCUCCUAGUACGAGAGGACCGGAGUGGACGCAUCACUGGUGUUCGGGUUGUCAUGCCAAUGGCACUGCCCGGUAGCUAAAUGCGGAAGAGAUAAGUGCUGAAAGCAUCUAAGCACGAAACUUGCCCCGAGAUGAGUUCUCCCUGAGACUUAGAGUCUCCUGAAGGAACGUUGAAGACGACGACGUUGAUAGGCCGGGUGUGUAAGCGCAGCGAUGCGUUGAGCUAACCGGUACUAAUGAACCGUGA
rnacentral:rRNA from 1 species